UACGUAGGGGGCAAGCGUUGUCCGGAUUUAUUGGGCGUAAGGAGCGUGUAGGCGGCCGUACAGGUCAGCUGUGAAAACUCGAGGCUCAACCUCGAGACGUCGGUUGAAACCGUACGGCUAGAGUCCGGAAGAGGAGAGUGGAAUUCCCGGUGUAGCGGUGAAAUGCGCAGAUAUCGGGAAGAACACCCGUGGCGAAGGUGGCUCUCUGGGACGGUAAUGACGCUGAGACGCGAAAGCGUGGGGAGCGAACAGG
rnacentral:rRNA from 1 species